rnacentral:rRNA from 1 species
AGAACGAACGCUGGCGGCAAGCCUAACACAUGCAAGUCGAACGGCAGCGCGGGAAGCUUGCUUCCUGGCGGCGAGUGGCGGACGGGUGAGUAACACGUAGGAAUCUACCUUGUAGUGGGGGAUAACCCGAGGAAACUCGGGCUAAUACCGCAUAAUUUCUUCGGAACAAAACGGGGGAUCUUCGGACCUCGUGCUACAAGAUGAGCUUGCGUCGGAUUAGCUAGUUGGUAGAGGUAAUGGCCUACCAAGGCGACGAUCCGUAGCUGGUCUGAGAGGACGAUCAGCCACACUGGGACUGAGACACGGCCCAGACUCCUACGGGAGGCAGCAGUGGGGAAUAUUGGACAAUGGGGGAAACCCUGAUCCAGCAAUGCCGCGUGUGUGAAGAAGGCCUUCGGGUUGUAAAGCACUUUCAGUGGGGAAGAAAGUCUCAAGGCUAAUACCCUUGGGCGUUGACGUUACCCACAGAAGAAGCACUGGCUAACUCUGUGCCAGCAGCCGCGGUAAUACGA